rnacentral:rRNA from 1 species
ACGCUCGACACCUACGGGAGGCNGCAGUUAGGAAUAUUGGGCAAUGGAGGAAACUCUGACCCAGCAACGCCGCGUGAAGGAAGAAGGUUUUCGGAUUGUAAACUUCUGAUCUAGGGGAAGAAGGAAGUGACGGUACCCUAGGAGAAAGCCACGGCUAACUACGUGCCAGCAGCUGCGGUAAUCUGAGCGGGCUGGCAAGGC